CAGGAGGAGCUGUUCAACAUAAGGAACGAUAAGCUUGGUGGGAAAAGGAAUGUUAAAGUCAUCUCCACAGCACAGGAGGCACAUUACAUGUUUAUUGAAUGUAACUCCAGCUCCAUUGGUUGAUGCCUUCAUCCAAGAUCCCUGAAUGUCCCCAGUGUCAAAAGAAGAGCCUAAUAAUAAAGGCACCAACAGCAUACACCCCAAUAGUUAUAUAUAUUCUCCAAAGAGAAUCCUGACAGACCAGGGAAGAGAAUUCAACAAUGAG